rnacentral:rRNA from 1 species
GAUGAACGCUGACAGAAUGCUUAACACAUGCAAGUCAACUUGAACUUCGGUUUGGGUGGCGGACGGGUGAGUAACGCGUAAAGAACUUGCCUCACAGCUAGGGACAACAUUUGGAAACGAAUGCUAAUACCUGAUAUUAUGAUUUUAGGGCAUCCUAGAAUUAUGAAAGCUAUAUGCGCUGUGAGAGAGCUUUGCGUCCCAUUAGCUAGUUGGAGAGGUAACGGCUCACCAAGGCGAUGAUGGGUAGCCGGCCUGAGAGGGUGAUCGGCCACAAGGGGACUGAGACACGGCCCUUACUCCUACGGGAGGCAGCAGUGGGGAAUAUUGGACAAUGGACCAAGAGUCUGAUCCAGCAAUUCUGUGUGCACGAUGAAGUUUUUCGGAAUGUAAAGUGCUUUCAGUUGGGAAGAAAAAAAUGACGGUACCAACAGAAGAAGUGACGGCUAAAUACGUGCCAGCAGCCGCGGUAAUACGUAUGUCACAAGCGUUAUCCGGAUUUAUUGGGCGUAAAGCGCGUCUAGGUGGUUAUAUAAGUCUGAUGUGAAAAUGCAGGGCUCAACUCUGUAUUGCGUUGGAAACUGUGUAACUAGAGUACUGGAGAGGUAAGCGGAACUACAAGUGUAGAGGUGAAAUUCGUAGAUAUUUGUAGGAAUGCCGAUGGGGAAGCCAGCUUACUGGACAGAUACUGACGCUGAAGCGCGAAAGCGUGGGUAGCAAACAGG